rnacentral:lncRNA from 1 species
UCAAGUUUGUUCACGGGCUCUGCCAUUGUCAUGAUUGUGGUUCCCGUGUUUUGCAGCUCGUUACCCGUCAACUGGCUCCGAAUACUCGCCGCGUUCUGUCUCGUCUUCAACGGCGCCACGAUUGCCGAGUGCGUGUACAGCCUUGUCGAGGGAGCGAGA